ACUCCUACGGGAGGCAGCAGUGGGGAAUUUUACGCAAUGGGGGAAACCCUGACGCAGCAACGCCGCGUGAGUGAUGAAGGCCCUUGGGUCGUAAAGCUCUGACAGAGGGAAAGAAGUGUAGAGUGGCUAAUAUCCACAUUACUUGACGGUACCCUCAAAGGAAGCACCGGCUAACUCCGUGCCAGCAGCCGCGGUAAUACGGGGGGUGCAAGCGUUGUUCGGAUUUAUUGGGCGUAAAGCGCGUGUAGGCGGUUUUAUAAGUCUGAUGUGAAAGCCCUGGGCUCGACCCGGGAAGUGCAUUGGAUACUGUAAGACUUGAAUACGGGAGAGGGCAGUGGAAUUCCUAGUGUAGGAGUGAAAUCCGUAGAUAUUAGGAGGAACACCGGUGGCGAAGGCGGCUGCCUGGACCGAUAUUGACGCUGAGACGCGAAAGCGUGGGUAGCAAACAGGAUUAGAUACCCUGGUAGUCCACGCCGUAAACGAUGAGAACUAGGUGUCGCGGGUA
rnacentral:rRNA from 1 species